GGACAGUCCUGAAAAUAAGUGCUACUGUUGCCUGGUUUUAUGGGUGGUGGGGGAGUUAAGGCACAGAAAGGUUAAAUAAUCUGAUCCAAGUCACAGAACUGAUCAGUGAUGGACCUGGGAUUUAAAUGGAAUUUUGGUUUUCAGAGGUAAAUGUGGGGAGAGCCACAGCUAUAAUUUCUCAGGUUUCUUUUCCUUCUCCUGGGGCCAGGGAGAUGGCUUUCCCUUCCUGGGGCAGGACUGUACUGUACAGUUGCUCCUGGUGUGCACUGUACAAGGGUCCCUGGUGGAGGGAAUAAGAGGUCAUGAAAUCCAGCUUGAGUCCCUCACCAGGCCCUGAGCUCAAGGGGUUGUUUCUUCUAAUUCCGCAGAGGCUCAGUGUGAGCUGGUGGAGCCCUGCCCUAGGAGAGGAGCUAGUGAGCAGGGCGCUCUUUCACCCCUUGCCCAGCUUUGUGGAAAAUCAGUUUAGUGGACCUGCUUGAUGGAAGAGGACAAGGGACAAGGGAUUUGAGGUCCUUGUGGCUCUGGGGUGUUUGUUGCUGUGCUUUCAGGACAAAGGUCUCAGCUUUCAUGGGCACUUUGCUCCAACAAGCAUGGCGGAAAUGGAGGAGGGCUGCGGGCUGACCAGGAACCACAGGAAUCAGCAGCUCUGAGUUCCCGACCCCAGGGCCUCUGGCACAGGUUUGCCCUGCUUUGUUUUUCCUUUUUCUUGAGCUCCUUGACGGGAAGGCAGACUGCACCUCUUAGGAGCUGCAUUCCAGAACAACCCCGGUAAUGGAAAGUACAAAAACAGCUUCAACUUGUUCCCAAAGCUUGAUGGGUUGCACUGACUUCUCAGAAAGCGUCCAUUUGGACCCAGAAUGUGAAAUAACAUUCUGUGGCUCCCUGGAGGAGGGCCAGAGGGUUACGCAGCCCAGGCAUGGGCCAGAUGGGAAAUCCAGACACUGGUCUGGGGAGGGACAUCUUUUGCUGCUCAUUUGGGCUGUCAAAGCAGCAGCUCCUUAAGACCCUCAUGGAACGCCUUCAAAUGUCACUCUGUGGGGAGAAUUUCAGAUGAGGGGGAAGGUUUAAUCAACUCAUGCGGCAUUUAGCUGGCAUCACAAUGAUGGUUGUUUAAAAGAGGUGGCAGCAGUAAGUGGGGUGGGUGGGGUUGGAUGGUAUGCUCCCUAUGACAUUGUCCAAAGCAUGCAAACCCAAUUGUCACAGUCGGUGGACCCUGCAGAUGCUUGUUGAGAAACCCCCGAGGAGUUCCUGUUGUGGCUCAGUGGUAACGAACCCAGCCAGUACCCAUGAGAAUUUGGGUUCGAUCCCUGGCCUCGCUCAGUGGGUUAAGUAUCCAGUGUUGCCGUGAGCUGUGGUAUAGGUCACAGACGUGGUUUUGAUCCUUUGUUGUCAUGGCUGGCAGCUGCAGCUCUGAUACUAGNGCCUGAUAUCUGCAGCUCUGAUACUAGCUCUGAUACCUAGCCUGGAAACUUCCAUAUGCUGCAGGUACCGCCCUAAAAAGAAAAGAAAAAAAAAAAGAAAAA
rnacentral:lncRNA from 1 species